AUUCGUCACAUUUCUAGAUAGUUCGGAUGUCGCUGUGGCAAAGUCCGAGGGCCAGCGCUGCCCUGGAGAUUGAGCGCCUGGAGGACAGGGCUGGAGAUUGAGCGCCUGGAGGACAGGGCUGGAGAUUGAGCGCCUGGAGGACAGGGCUGGAGAUUGAGCGCCUGGAGGACAGGGCUGGAGAUUGAGCGCCUGGAGGACAGGGCUGGAGAUUGAGCGCCUGGAGGACAGGGCUGGAGAUUGAGCGCCUGGAGGACAGGGCUGGAGAUUGAGCGCCUGGAGGACAGGGCUGGAGAUUGAGCGCCUGGAGGACAGGGCUUUGUCUGCACUGUGCCCUCGGGGUCUGGGCUCAGUGAGGGAUGAACCCUACCAGAGCUACAGGAAUAAAGCACCCAACAACGUGUACGCCCAGACGAAUAUGGCGCUUUAAGAGCUGUGCGUGUUUUGGGGGAGCAGACGGUUGACAGUGUUGAGUUUGAUUGAAGGCAUCGACUACAAGACGACCACCAUCCUGCUGGACGGGCGGCGGGUGAAGCUGCAGCUCUGGGAUACUUCAGGCCAGGGAAGAUUUUGUACCAUAUUC
rnacentral:lncRNA from 1 species